GUGGGGAAUUUUGGACAAUGGGCGAAAGCCUGAUCCAGCAAUGCCGCGUGCAGGAUGAAGGCCCUCGGGUUGUAAACUGCUUUUGUACGGAACGAAAAGCUUCUGGUUAAUACCUGGGAGUCAUGACGGUACCGUAAGAAUAAGCACCGGCUAACUACGUGCCAGCAGCCGCGGUAAUACGUAGGGUGCAAGCGUUAAUCGGAAUUACUGGUCGUAAAGCGUGCGCAGGCGGUUGUGUAAGACAGGCGUGAAAUCCCCGGGCUCAACCUGGGAAUUGCGCUUGUGACUGCACAGCUGGAGUGCGGCAGAGGGGGAGGGAAUUCCGCGUGUAGCAGUGAAAUGCGUAGAUAUGCGGAGGAACACCGAUGGCGAAGGCAAUCCCCUGGGCCUGCACUGACGCUCAUGCACGAAAGCGUGGGGAGCAAACAGGAUUAGAUACCCCAGUAGUCC
rnacentral:rRNA from 1 species